rnacentral:rRNA from 1 species
GUUGACCUCGGAUCAGGUAGGAAUACCCGCUGAACUUAAGCAUAUCAAUAAGCGGAGGAAAAGAAACCAACAGGGAUUGCCUUAGUAACGGCGAGUGAAGCGGCAAAAGCUCAAAUUUGAAAUCUGGCUCUUUUAGAGUCCGAGUUGUAAUUUGUAGAGGAUGUUUCGGGCAAGGCUUCGGUUUAAAUUCCUUGGAACAGGAUGUCAGAGAGGGUGAGAGCCCCGUCUUGAACCAACUGCCGCGUCCAUGUGAAACUCCUUCGACGAGUCGAGUUGUUUGGGAAUGCAGCUCAAAAUGGGAGGUAAAUUUCUUCUAAAGCUAAAUAUUGGCCAGAGACCGAUAGCGCACAAGUAGAGUGAUCGAAAGAUGAAAAGCACUUUGAAAAGAGAGUUAAACAGUAUGUGAAAUUGUUGAAAGGGAAGCGCUUGCAACCAGACUUGUUCUUAACGGUUCCACCAUGAUUUUUCAUGGCUUAUUCCGUUCUGACAGGCCAGCAUCAGUUUGGGUGGUUAGUUAAAGGCUUCGGGAAGGUAUCAUCGUCUUCGGAUGUUGACUUAUAGCCCGGGGUGUAAUGUGACCUACCUAGACUGAGGUAUGCGUUCUCACGGAUGCUGGCAUAAUGGUUGUAAACGACCCGUCUUGAAACACGGACCAAGGAGUCUAACAUCUAUGCGAGUGUUAGGGUGUCAAACCCUUACGCGUAAUGAAAGUGAACGGAGGUAGGAACCCGUAUGGGUGCACUAUCGACCGAUCCUGAUGUCUUCGGAUGGAUUUGAGUAAGAGCAUAGCUGUUGGGACCCGAAAGAUGGUGAACUAUGCCUAAAUAGGGUGAAGCCAGAGGAAACUCUGGUGGAGGCUCGCAGCGGUUCUGACGUGCAAAUCGAUCGUCAAAUUUGGGUAUAGGGGCGAAAGUAUUUAACAAAUCAAACCCUUCUUUCGCAACAUUAACUGUUUAUUCAGUUAAUUAGUCAGUAAAUGGCGAGGUUUCUGAUCUGCGGGGAUGCCAAUCAUGGCUGCCCGCACCUGAGUGUAUUCAGGUCACAGAUUAAGUGGAAGCCGGUGGAUUUUUAACGAAGAUCUACUUAUGAUAUAAUCGGCCUUUCAGGUAGCCCUGAACUGACUAGCGGACUAAUCGAACCAUCUGGUUAAAUAUUUUUAACUAGGAACCAAGCCAUCGGAUGGUUUAAAAGACAGUCUUUGGAAUUAAUUUUCCAAGGGCAACGCUAAUAUCUUGCGAGGAGAUCAUGGUUAAAAAACAAUCGUGAUCAAUCCGCAGCCAGAUUGAUUUCUGGUUCACAGACUAGAUGUUGGCGGUCGACACUUUGUUAAAAAAGAACAAUUGUCGAUAAGAUAUAGCCGGUUGGGCUUCAGUCAAAUGAAGUUUUUAACAAUAAGGGUAGCUGGUUCCUGCCGAAGUUUCCCUCAGGAUAGCAGUAACGAAAUCAGUUUUAUGAGGUAAAGCGAAUGAUUAGAGGCCUUGGGGUUGAAACAACCUUAACCUAUUCUCAAACUUUAAAUAUGUAAGAAGCUCUUGUUACUUAGUUGAACGUGAGCAUUUGAAUGUAUCGUUACUAGUGGGCCAUUUUUGGUAAGCAGAACUGGCGAUGCGGGAUGAACCGAACGCGAGGUUAAGGUGCCGGAAUACACGCUCAUCAGACACCACAAAAGGUGUCAAUGCAUCUAGACAGUCCGACGGUGGCCAUGGAAGUCGGAAUCCGCUAAGGAGUGUGUAACAACUCACGGACCGAAUGCAUUGGCCCUGAAAAUGGAUGGCGCUCAAGCGUGUUACCCAUACCUCGCCGUUAAAGUUUUAAUGAUGCUUUAACGAGUAGGCAGGCGU